rnacentral:misc_RNA from 1 species
CCCUUCCGGUCUUCGAGACCGCGUCUUCAACUCGCCGCAGGACCCCAACGAAAGUGGCCAGAAAUGCGGACGAGGCGAAGUAACCCUUGACAUAUGAGUACCUUUUGUUCCCUUCGGCGGGCUCGCGCCCGUCGCUUGGGCCCAUCCAAACCCCUUUGCAGUAGCAGUAUACCAUCUGAUCGUGGGCACUUGAAUCUUUA